AGUGAACGCUGGCGGUAGGCCUAACACAUGCAAGUCGAACGGCAGCACAGUAAGAGCUUGCUCUUACGGGUGGCGAGUGGCGGACGGGUGAGGAAUACAUCGGAAUCUACUUUUUCGUGGGGGAUAACGUAGGGAAACUUACGCUAAUACCGCAUACGACCUACGGGUGAAAGCAGGGGAUCUUCGGACCUUUCGCGAUUGAAUGAGCCGAUGUCGGAUUAGCUAGUUGGCGGGGUAAAGGCCCACCAAGGCGACGAUCCGUAGCUGGUCUGAGAGGAUGAUCAGCCACACUGGAACUGAGACACGGUCCAGACUACUACGGGAGGCAGCAGUGGGGAAUAUUGGGCAAUGGGCGCAAGCCUGAUCCAGCCAUACCGCGUGGGUGAAGAAGGCCUUCGGGUUGUAAAGCCCUUUUGUUGGGAAAGAAAAGCAGCAGGUUAAUACCCCGCUGUUCUGACGGUACCCAAAGAAUAAGCACCGGCUAACUUCGUG
rnacentral:rRNA from 1 species